GAGAUGAUCAAUUUGAUGAUAUUUGGGUAUCAAAAAAACAUCUUCUAUUGAAAAUUUUGAAGCAGGCUCUAAUUCGAUUGUUUAGAUCCUAGGCUCUAUAUAAACGUUUCCCAUCUUUAAAACAUGUUCUAAGGUAGGUACCUACAGAAGACUUAAAAAGCAGCACUACAAUAGUACUGGGAUAAUUUCAUAGCCUGAAUAAUCUUGUAAAAUAAUUUGGGAAUUUGAAAGAUAUUUUAAAAGAAAAUGCAACCCCUGAUAUGAAUACCUUGCAGAGCACAAUAAAUUAUCGUGAAACCAACUACCUCUCAUUGUCAAUGUAUCUCCUUCAUUAAUUCAUCUUUUAGGUCCACUAACUUGUUCGACCUAUGCAUGCAGGUGCACCUCGUGCGUGCAUCCAACCGCCCAUGCGGCCACAGUUCGCACCACUGUGACCUUGCUACCGCACAUAAUUCAGUCUGGGUGAUACUGGUGUGGAUCAAUUGUCGCUGCACAGUCGCAUCUCUGAUUUGAUAUGACACAACCACUACAGUAGAUGAAGGCUGGCCUUCCUCCCGAACAUGAUUCGCUCUGGGUGGUGGUGGAAUGACGGUGUUGCUACGAUGGUUGCAUGCGAAGCUC
rnacentral:lncRNA from 1 species